CUGCACUCCUCUUGUAAAUGCAGUUUAAGUAACUUUUUUGUUCAAAGUUUCACCACAAGAUGGCACUGUGAUUUUGUGAUUGCCCUAGUAAGUUUAUUUAACAUGUUUAUUGAAAGUAUUAUUUUUCAUGUUUUUCAAUACAUUUUGUAGCAUUUACAGGUGCACAGAAUUAAUACUUUUUGAUAUUUGAGUAAUUUUGAAUUGGUUUAUUUUGAUAAGGCAUGUUUAAGAGCGCUGUGACGUCACUUCCUGUAUCUCGAAGCUUCGGAGAUUUUAUUGCUGCGCAUGGACAAAUGUGUGCCAGUUAAGAACAUUUGAGAAGAAGGUAAAGUGUUUUCAAGUCUACCGGUUUGUCUACUAGCAGGCCAAAGUGGUAUGUUUAUUCUUUAUUUACAAAUUCUGUAUGUUAGCCAACUUAAGGCAACUAACUUGUUAAUUUGUACAUGAUUUAUGCUUUUUCAUUAGUUCUACGGUGUUCAUGUGGUGUAAAGAGUAAGAAGACGCAAGACCGCAUUAAACAUCAGUAAAAGGAACGCUCGUGUCUCUCGUGUAUGUGAACAAGCCGGCACAGUAGAACACUACACUGCCUCGGAGGAGACGGUUGGAAGCAAGCUAUUAGCAAGGGAUGCUACAGACGUGCUAAGGGAAGUAUCACGUGUUUGGACAAACACAUGAAACAAGCUAACAAGCAGAAGCUAAAUAAGCAAGCACUCAAGUUUGUGUCUUGAAAGUAGCGCAAGCGCUUGUGGAUUGUUGCACUGAAUGUGGCUUCUCCAUCAAAAGAAAUAGCAGUUUGCAUCAAUUAAGAUUAAAGGUACAUGGCCAAAAUUGAAAUAAGUUCAUAAAAGUGAUAUCAAAACAAAAUGGCAGAUGAAAGUAAGCCCACUGUAAGUUGUGCUGAGCUUAAAACACAAGAUGAUGAAAGGCAAGUGGAUACAGAAGAACAGCCAAAUGGAGAGGAAGCUCAACAGUCCUCAAUAUCUAUUAAUUCACAAUCAGAAAACCCACGCAGAAGCCAGCGCACACGCACACUCACUGAAAAGGGAAAAUCUUUGGAAGAUGCAAAGUUACAUGGUUUGACCAAGGAUUUUCAGCGAUUCUAUAAGAAAUGGAAAUAUCACAUAAACUCUUUUAAGAGAAUGGUGAAAAAUGAAGAUAUUGAUUUAAUACCUGAAGCUGUGAGUGCCAUAGACGCCAUUAUGACUGAUAUCUGCAACACAUAUGAUGAUAUUAGAAGGAUUGAAAGUCCUGAUGUAGAAAUACGGAGAAGAUGUGAUGUUUGUUGUGCUGUCAGUGAAGCUGCCAGAGCAAAGGCAAAGUGCCUUUUGGAGGAAAAUGGGGAUCCAGAUAGUAUUCCUUGGCCAGAUUCUGAAUCUGUGUUUGAAAGCAGUACAUCCAGCAUCAGCUCAAGGAUCACAUUUAAGUCAAAGUCCAUCUCUGAAAUGUCCAGGCAGUCAUCUCUAGUUUCACUGCAACAAAGACAGGAAGCUGCAGCUGAAGUGGCAGCAACAGAAGAGGUAAUUAAAAUAAUGAAAACACAACAUCAAUGUGAGGAAGAAAUCAGAGAACUUGAAGUUGAGGAUGCAAAGAAAAGAGCCCAAUUUCUAACAGAGAGCACUACAAUAAAGACAAAAUUGGAAGAGAAAAGAAAAGAAGUGGAACUAUUGAAAGAGCUGCAAAAGCACAAUGCAGCACAAGCAAGAUUAAAAGUACGCUGAAAGCAUAAAAAAUGAGGGUGAAGAACCGCCUACUAGUGUACAUUUACAAGUCAAACAAGAUAGCUCCCUUCUACCAUCACGCUUUCUGAAUGUUCACUCAAAGCCAUUCAUUCCUUCUCAAGUUAAAGAUCCUGCAAAUCAACGAUUUGUCCAGAAAACAGAAAUUCCAAUUGCAUGUGAAGCAGCCUCCAUUGAUCUUGUAAAGACACUUGCUGAAGCAAUCACAGCCAAUAGACUUCCAGUGCCUGAACCUGCAGUCUUCACAGGUGACCCGCUGCAGUAUAAUGACUGGAAGCUGUCUUUUCAAACAUUGGUUGAUCGCAAAAAUCUGCCAACACAAGAAAAGCUUUUCUUCUUGAGAAAGUACGUUGGAGGUUCAGCUAAGAAGGCUAUCGAAGGUCACUUUCUAGCUGGAACAGAUACAGCAUAUUGUGCUGCUUGGGAAAUGCUCGAAGACAGAUUUGGAGAUCCUUUUGUGAUUGGCAAGUCUUAUCGUGACAAGAUUCAAUCAUGGCCUAAAAUCACAGCCAAGGACUGUAAAGAUUUACGUGAGUUUGCUGAUUUCUUAACAAGUGUUGAAUCAGCCAUUCCAUAUGUCCAAGGUUUACAAGUUUUAAAUGACUGUGUGGAAAAUCAGAGAAUAGCAGCAAAGUUACCUGAUUGGUUAAGUGCACGUUGGAACAGGAAAGUUACAGAGUUCCAAGAUGAACACAAAAUGUUUCCUGACUUCAGUCAUUUUGUUAAAUUUUUAAAUAAAGAAGCAAGAAUUGCAUGCAACCCGAUUACCUCACUACAGGCAAUAAAGCCAACUGAAUUUGAUAACAAGCAUCCAUACAAAGACAAAUCAAGAAGAAGUGGUACCCUGAGUGCUAAAACUCUUAACACAAGCUCAAAUGAAAAGACAUUUGUUACAUGUCUCUUUUGUAAGAAACCUGGUCACACACUACAUAAAUGUCGAAAGAUGAUGGAAAUAUCAGUUGAAGAAAGAGUUAAGUUUGUGAAGGCUGAAAACCUGUGCUUUGGUUGCCUCAAGUAUGGUCAUAACUCUAAGAACUGUAAGUCUAGAAGUGUGUGCGACAGAUGUCAGAAACCUCGCCCAAGUUGUCUACAUCAAGACAGGGAAAAGGGGGAUAAAGAGAAAAGAGCAAAGAAUAAUCAACAACCAACAAACCACAAUCAGGAGACAGAAAAGGUGUCUGAAGCACAAGAGCAAGAAUCUCAGCAAGUCACAUCCAACAGAGUAUUACAACAAAAAUCAAAGGGUUGUACUUCCUCAGUUAUCCCAGUUUAUGUAUCGACCGUGGAUGAACCAGAGAAAGAAAGGCUUGUGUAUGCUUUGCUCGACACUCAAAGUGAUACAACUUUCAUCCUGAAGAACACAGCUGAAUCGCUGAAUACAAAAUUUGAACCUGUCCAACUCAAGAUUUCCACUAUGAGCUCCAAAACAAGGAUUGUGUCAAGUCACAAGUUAAAGGACUUACAAGUAAGAGGAAUGAACUCUGAAGUCAGAAUCAAGCUGCCAACAACUUACACCAGAAGCUAUAUUCCUGCCAAUAGGUCACACAUUCCCACAAACACUACCGCAGAGAGUUGGCCCCAUCUUUCACAUCUAUCAGAAGAAAUGGCUCCUAAGCUCGACUGUGAAGUCGGAUUGCUGAUUGGAUAUAACUGUCCUCAAGCUUUACUCCCUCUGGAGGUGAUUAGUGGCAAAAGAGACCAGCCAUUUGCACAGAAAUCCCUGCUUGGUUGGAGCAUCAUUGGUUAUAGUAACUCUGAGAAUGAUUAUGAAGAUGAAAUAGGAGUAAGUCAUCAUGUUAUUGUUAAACAAGUCCUGCCAGCAGUAGAACUCACUCAUAAGCUCAAAACUGAAGUCCACUUUGUAAGCAGAAACAAAGUCAAAGAAGUGAUCAAUCCAGCUGACAUAAUUAAAGUGCUGGAGAUGGACUUUGUUGAAAGAAGUGUUGAGAAAGAGCCAGUGUCACAAGAAGAUUUAUUGUUUCUGACUAAAAUGAAAGACGGUAUAAAACUAAAGCAAAAUGGUCAUUUUGAAAUGCCGCUACCCUUCAAGCAAGAAAAACCCAAACUGCCCAACAACAAACUUUGUGCAGAACUGAGACUAAAGUGCCUGGAAAGGCGCCUGAGGAAAGACGAGCACUACUUCAAAGAUUAUGUGGCAUUCAUGCAUGACAUCAUAAUAAGAGGUGAUGCUGAGAAAGUACCAGAGGCUGAAUUAAAAAACCAACCAGCAUGGUAUAUACCUCACCAUGGCAUCUAUCAUCCACAAAAGCCAAAAAAGAUACGUGUUGUCUUUGAUUGCUCAGCUAAGUUUCAGAAUACCUCUCUAAACGAACACCUUCUAUCAGGCCCAGAUCUCACAAAUACCCUUGUUGGAGUUUUGUGUCGUUUCAGGAAAGGGCAUGUGGCUAUUAUCUGCGACGUUGAGCGUAUGUUUCAUCAGUUUCAAGUCGCCCCAGAAGAUCAAGAUUAUCUUCGAUUCUUAUGGUGGGAGGAUGGCAAUCUGGAUAAGCCACCAUCAGUUUUUCGUAUGAGAGUGCACUUAUUCGGUGCAGCAUCCUCGCCUGGAUGCGCGAACUUUGGAUUUAAGCACCUAGCUGCUCAAGGUGAAGGCAAGUUUAGUGAAGCUGCUGUGAAGUUUGUACAACGCAACUUCUACGUGGAUGAUGGGUUGGCCAGCGUGGACUCAGAGCAAGAAGCAAUUCUGCUUGUGAAAGAAGCCAGAGAACUCUGUAACACAGGAAAGCUCCACCUACAUAAGUUCAUCAGCAACAGCAAAACAGUGAUUGCCACUAUCCCAAAGAAAGAAUGUGCAGCUGGAGCAACUGAUUUGGACCUAGCUCUUGGUGAGCCAAAGAUGGAAAGGGCUUUAGGGGUCCAUUGGUGUGUAACCUCAGACACAUUUUGCUUUAGAGUUGUUGUAAAGGACAACCCCUUCACUAGAAGAGGAGUGCUCUCCACAGUGGCUUCAAUAUUUGACCCACUUGGAUUUGUUGCUCCAUUCAUUCUAGUUGGCAAAAGAAUCCUUCAAAGAAUGUGUCAGAAAAAACUGGGUUGGGAUGAGCCACUUCCAGAAGAUCUCAAACCUCAAUGGGAAGCUUGGCUCAGGGACCUUCAAAACUUGUCUUCCAUAAAGAUACCACGUUGUUAUGUACCACCAACAUUCAACCAAGAUCUGAAGUAUGAGUUGCACAGUUUUGCUGAUGCCAGUGAACACGGUUAUGGGGAGUGCUCAUACUUAAGAACUGUGACCAAAUCUGGAAACGUGCAAUGCACCCUUGUGAUGGGGAAAGCCAGAGUAGCUCCUACUAAAGUGGUUACCAUCCCAAGAUUGGAGCUUUCAGCGGCUGCAGUAGCUGCAAAAACUGCUAACUUUCUAAAGAACGAGUUAGAAAUCCAAGAUCUUCAGCAGUACUACUGGACUGAUUCCAAGGUCGUUCUUGGCUAUAUAAACAAUGACGCAAAACGAUUCCAUGUAUUUGUUGCCAACAGAGUACAGAGAAUCAAGUCAAGUACAGAACCAAGUCAAUGGCAUUACGUUGCCUCUCAACAAAAUCCUGCUGAUCACGCAUCACGUGGAGUCAUGACAAAGGAACUUGUAGACUCCAAUUGGUUCACAGGACCGAGCUUCUUAUGGGAUAAGGAACUACCAAAACAAGAAAUCGAAGUGAACGAGAUCAGUACGGAAGACCCAGAACUCAAGGUUGCACAAGUUUUCACAGUGAAGACAAAAGAAGAUAAACCUUUCUCAGAGCGACUGCACAAGUUUUCAGAUUGGACAAGAGCUGUCAAAGCAAUAGCAAGACUACGGCGACGUGUAAAGUAUGCAAAAAACUUAAAUGAAAUGCCCAAGGAAAGCACAACGCUAGAUGAAAGAAAGGAUGCAGAGGAGUUCAUUUUACGCACCAUCCAAAGUGAAUCAUUUGGCACAGAAAUCAAGUCGCUCAAAGAAAAGGAAGAAGUCAAGGCAUCAAUCUCCAAGUUACACCAGUUAAGUCCAUUCCUUGACAAACACAAUAUCCUGAGGGUGGGAGGAAGACUAACACAAGCGUCACUCCAUCCAGCCAAAAGAGCAUCAUGUUUCACAGCUUCUCAUCAAACACUUCCAUGAGAAGAUACAUCAUCAAGGUCGAGGGAUGACAGUCAAUGAAAUACGUGCUAAUGGCAUAUGGAUUAUUGGCUGCAGUACAGAAGUGUCAUCGUUCAUAUACAAAUGUGUUAAAUGCAGGAAAUACAGGAAAUGCAAUCAAGAUCAACGGAUGAACGAUUUGCCAUCUGAAAGACUGGAAGCCACCCCUCCAUUUACAUACAGCGGUAUGGACUGCUUCGGCCCAUUCUGUGUAAAGGAAGGGAGGAAAGAAUUAAAGAGAUAUGGACUGUUGUUUACAUGCAUGUGCUCAAGAGCUAUCCAUAUAGAAGUCCUGGUUGACCUCAGUACAGACUGUUUUCUCAAUGCACUUCGUUGUUUCAUCGCAAUACGUGGCAAGAUCAGUCAAUUACAUUGCGAUCAAGGCACUAAUUUCGUUGGUGCAAGAAACGAACUGUUCCCGCAAGCAACUCAAGAGAAGGUUAAAGAGCUGGGCAUUACUUUUGUUUUCAACCCACCUGCUGCUAGUCAUAUGGGCGGAGUCUGGGAGAGACAGAUCCGUACUAUAAGGAAUGUUCUAAGAUCCAUUCUCGACCAGUCUGCCUCAAGAUUAGAUACUUCAUCAUUAAGAACUUUCAUGUAUGAAGCCAUGGCAAUUGUAAAUAGUCGACCAUUAACUGUGGAGUGUAUCAACGACCCUGUAGGGCCAGAGCCGCUGACGCCAAACCAUAUUUUGACCAUGAAGUCAGAAGUGAUCUCACCACCAUCUGGCGAAUUUGUCAAAGAAGAUCUUUAUCUGCAGAAAAGGUGGAAAAGAGUGCAGUAUUUGGCUAAUGUAUUUUGGACCAGAUGGAGAAAGGAGUACCUGUUAAACCUGCAGCAGAGAAGAAAGUGGAAUAAGAACCGCAGAAACACACAGAUAAAUGACAUUGUUCUGCUACAAGAGGAUUGUGUUCCAAGGAACCAAUGGAAACUUGCCAGAGUAGUAGAAGUCACCCCAGGAGCUGACGGCAGAGUCAGAAAGGUGAAACUUCUCAUCGGUGACACUACUCGGAACAACAAAGGAAAACAUUCAGCUAAGACCGUUUUAGAAAGACCUAUACACAAGACUGUACUUUUGCUUGAAGCAGAGUAAGGGCUCAUAAGUAAUGUCUAUUUUGUAAUAUUGCUAAGUUCAUUAUCUUGUUUAUUCAUAUUUAGAAUCACCCAUGCUAGUUGCAGUGUGAUGGUGGGAGUGUAAAUGCAGUUUAAGUAACUUUUUUGUUCAAAGUUUCACCACAAGAUGGCACUGUGAUUUUGUGAUUGCCCUAGUAAGUUUAUUUAACAUGUUUAUUGAAAGUAUUAUUUUUCAUGUUUUUCAAUACAUUUUGUAGCAUUUACAGGUGCACAGAAUUAAUACUUUUUGAUAUUUGAGUAAUUUUGAAUUGGUUUAUUUUGAUAAGGCAUGUUUAAGAGCGCUGUGACGUCACUUCCUGUAUCUCGAAGCUUCGGAGAUUUUAUUGCUGCGCAUGGACAAAUGUGUGCCAGUUAAGAACAUUUGAGAAGAAGGUAAAGUGUUUUCAAGUCUACCGGUUUGUCUACUAGCAGGCCAAAGUGUUCUACGGUGUUCAUGUGGUGUAAAGAGUAAGAAGACGCAAGACCGCAUUAAACAUCAGUAAAAGGAA